rnacentral:rRNA from 1 species
GAUGAACGCUGGCGGCGUGCCUAAUACAUGCAAGUCGAGCGAACAGACGAGGAGCUUGCUCCUCUGACGUUAGCGGCGGACGGGUGAGUAACACGUGGAUAACCUACCUAUAAGACUGGGAUAACUUCGGGAAACCGGAGCUAAUACCGGAUAAUAUAUUGAACCGCAUGGUUCAAUAGUGAAAGACGGUUUUGCGGUCACUUAUAGAUGGAUCCGCGCCGCAUUAGCUAGUUGGUAAGGUAACGGCUUACCAAGGCAACGAUGCGUAGCCGACCUGAGAGGGUGAUCGGCCACACUGGAACUGAGACACGGUCCAGACUCCUACGGGAGGCAGCAGUAGGGAAUCUUCCGCAAUGGGCGAAAGCUUGACGGAGCAACGCCGCGUGAGUGAUGAAGGUCUUCGGAUCGUAAAACUCUGUUAUUAGGGAAGAACAAAUGUGUAAGUAACUAUGCACGUAUUGACGGUACCUAAUCAGAAAGCAACGGCUAACUACGUG